rnacentral:rRNA from 1 species
AGUGAACGCUGGCGGUAGGCCUAACACAUGCAAGUCGAACGGCAGCACAGUAAGAGCUUGCUCUUACGGGUGGCGAGUGGCGGACGGGUGAGGCAUACAUCGGAAUCUACUUUUUCGUGGGGGAUAACGUAGGGAAACUUACGCUAAUACCGCAUACGACCUACGGGUGAAAGCAGGGGAUCUUCGUACCUUGCGCGAUUGAAUGAGCCGAUGUCGGAUUAGCUAGUUGGCGGGGUAAAGGCCCACCAAGGCGACGAUCCGUAGCUGGUCUGAGAGGAUGAUCAGCCACACUGGAACUGAGACACGGUCCAGACUCCUACGGGAGGCAGCAGUGGGGAAUAUUGGACAAUGGGCGCAAGCCUGAUCCAGCCAUACCGCGUGGGUGAAGAAGGCCUUCGGGUUGUAAAGCCCUUUUGUUGGGAAAGAAAAGCAGCAGGUUAAUACCCCGCUGUUCUGACGGUACCCAAAGAAUAAGCACCGGCUAACUUCGUG